UCUACAGAAACGAAAAGCGAGGCAAGCCCUGUUUCAACGCAAGGCAAUUGCAAUACUAAAGUUGGUGUACUGAGCGCGUUCUUGGCUCUUUCUUUGAUCACCAUUGUAAUGCUCUUGGCUUUCAUGAUAUGGAAACAUAGGAGGACGAACUCACAAAACUCAAAACUACAAGA